AUACGAAGGGGGCUAGCGUUGUUCGGAAUUACUGGGCGUAAAGCGCGCGUAGGCGGAUUGGUCAGUUAGGGCUGAAAUCCCAGGGCUUAACCCUGGAACUGCCUCUAAUACUGCCAGUCUUGAGUUCGGGAGAGGUGAGUGGAAUUCCUAGUGUAGAGGUGAAAUUCGUAGAUAUUAGGAAGAACACCAGUGGCGAAGGCGGCUCACUGGCCCGAUUCUGACGCUGAGGCGCGAAAGCGUGGGGAGCAAACAGGAUUAGAUACCCUAGUAGUCC
rnacentral:rRNA from 1 species